rnacentral:rRNA from 1 species
UGGGGAAUAUUGCACAAUGGGCGCAAGCCUGAUGCAGCCAUGCCGCGUGUGUGAAGAAGGCCUUCGGGUUGUAAAGCACUUUCAGCGAGGAGGAAGGUGGUGAACUUAAUACGUUCAUCAAUUGACGUUACUCGCAGAAGAAGCACCGGCUAACUCCGUGCCAGCAGCCGCGGUAAUACGGAGGGUGCAAGCGUUAAUCGGAAUUACUGGGCGUAAAGCGCACGCAGGCGGUUUGUUAAGUCAGAUGUGAAAUCCCCGGGCUCAACCUGGGAACUGCAUUUGAAACUGGCAAGCUAGAGUCUCGUAGAGGGGGGUAGAAUUCCAGGUGUAGCGGUGAAAUGCGUAGAGAUCUGGAGGAAUACCGGUGGCGAAGGCGGCCCCCUGGACGAAGACUGACGCUCAGGUGCGAAAGCGCGGGGAGCAAACAGGAUUAGAUACCCUGGUAGUCCACGCUGUAAAACGAUGUCGAUUUUGGAGGUUGUGCCCUUGAGGCGUGGCUUCCGGAGCUAACGCGUUAAAUCGACCGCCUGGGGAGUACGG